UACAGAGGGUGCAAGCGUUGUUCGGAAUUACUGGGCGUAAAGCGCGCGUAGGCGGCUUCGCAAGUCGGAUGUGAAAGCCCUGGGCUCAACCUAGGAAGUGCAUUCGAAACUGCGAAGCUUGAGUCCUGGAGAGGAAGGCGGAAUUCUCGGUGUAGAGGUGAAAUUCGUAGAUAUCGGGAGGAACACCGGUGGCGAAGGCGGCCUUCUGGACAGUGACUGACGCUGAGACGCGAAAGCGUGGGGAGCAAACAGG
rnacentral:rRNA from 1 species